CUGAUUCUAGCUCAGGGUUUCGUAAGUAGCAGAGCAGCUACCUCGCUGCGAUCUAUUGAAAGUCGUCCCUCGAGCCAACCUUUUGUCAGUAACCAAAGUC